UGCCCUGCUCCUUAUGGAAGACUAGUGAUUUUGUUGUUCUUUAUCUCAUGACAACAAGUCACAGUCUGCCUUACGAAGCCUGGCU